rnacentral:rRNA from 1 species
GUAGUCCACGCCCUAAACGAUGCGAACUGGAUGUUGGGAGCAACUAGGCUCUCAGUAUCGAAGCUAACGCGUUAAGUUCGCCGCCUGGGAAGUACGGUCGCAAGACUGAAACUCAAAGGAAUUGACGGGGGCCCGCACAAGCGGUGGAGUAUGUGGUUUAAUUCGAUGCAACGCGAAGAACCUUACCUGGCCUUGACAUGUCGCGAAUCCUUUAGAGAUAGAGGAGUGCCUUCGGGAACGCGAACACAGGUGCUGCAUGGCUGUCGUCAGCUCGUGUCGUGAGAUGUUGGGUUAAGUCCCGCAACGAGCGCAACCCUUGUCCUUAGUUGCCAGCACGUAAUGGUGGGAACUCUAAGGAGACCGCCGGUGACAAACCGGA